UACGUAGGGACCGAGCGUUGUCCGGAUUCAUUGGGCGUAAAGAGCUCGUAGGCGGCUGCUCAAGUCGAAUGUGAAAACUCGAGGCUCAACCUCGAGCCUGCAUUCGAUACUGGGCGGCUAGAGUCUGGUAGGGGGAUCUGGAAUUCCUGGUGUAGCGGUGGAAUGCGCAGAUAUCAGGAGGAACACCGGUGGCGAAGGCGGGAUUCUGGGCCAGUACUGACGCUGAGGAGCGAAAGCGUGGGGAGCGAACAGG
rnacentral:rRNA from 1 species